rnacentral:misc_RNA from 1 species
GGCGUCACCAAGACUGACGUACGCCGGAAAAUCGCGAUCUAAUGUUCCGGCACCGACGGUUGUAAUCCAUGGAGACGUAUUUGACAAGCUGUAAGGACUGGGGCCGGCAUUUCCGGCAGAGCAAGAAAUGAGGAUGCCUUUCUCCAUGGCAGCGAAUGCGCCGGUGGCAACACUGUCCUUGUAAUAAUCGGAUACUCCACCGCCAAGCGACAAGGAAAGGACAUUAACAUUGUCCACCACAGCCUUUUCAAUGGCGGCUACGAUAUCGGAGCUGAAACAUCCACCGGUCCAGCAAACCUUGUAGGCGGCGACCCUCGCACGCGCGGCCAUCCCACGGGCGGUGCCGGAGGCAUACCCAAAUAGGCUCGCGUUUUCAACUACAGAACCGGCGGCAGUUGUAGCGGUGUGGGUUCCAUGGCCAUCGUCAUCUCUCGGAGAUCUCGAUUCUUUCGAUUCAUCGAUCGGACCGAGAGUCGCCUCGUAGCCCUUGGAGAAAAAUCUAGCUCCAAUCAGCUUCCUGUUGCAGUUCGACGCACUGAAAUUAGUACCUGAUUCACACUCACCCUUCCAGCUACUCGGUAUCGGUCCAAGCCCAGUAUCAUCGAAGCUUUUACUCUCCGGCCAAAUCCCAGUAUCCAAAACUCCGAUGAUGACCUCCGACACAGAAUUGGAUUCAGGGUAAAGAUUUGCAUUCUUGUCGAGUCCAAGAAACUGCGGAGUACGAGUUGUAUGAAGUUCAUAUCUCAUCUCGGGCACCACAGCCAGAAUCCCAGGUUGGGCCUCGAGCCGCUGAGCUUCAUCCGCCGUCAAUCUGGUUGAAAACCCAUGAACGACGUUGUUGUAAGCAUAGAUCAUCUCAGCAGUAUCGGACACGGAUCUGAGUGAGGAGUCGUACCAGUGCAAGUGGUGUUCAAAACUCUCGGGCAUUUGGUAUUUAGCCAUAUGCACGAUGUAAGUCUUCUUC